ensembl:snoRNA LOC120093469 small nucleolar RNA SNORA17
AUCGUCUCAAUAGGUAUUGAAAAGGUCCUUCACAAAAUCCAACACUCCUUUACAAUGUGCAUGAGUAGGCGGCCGAGAGGAGAGAGUCUAUGUCUAUGCUCAGUAAACAUCUGAAUGAUUAGUAGCCUAACAUU